AGAGUUUGAUCCUGGCUCAGGAUGAACGCUGGCGGCGUGCCUAACACAUGCAAGUCGAACGGGAACAGAAUGAAACCUAGUGAUUUUGUUUAGUGGCGGACGGGUGAGUAACGCGUGGGUAACCUGCCGUAUACAGGGGGAUAACACUUAGAAAUAGGUGCUAAUACCGCAUAAGCGCACAGCUCCGCAUGGAGCAGUGUGAAAAGCGUAAACGGUAUACGAUGGACCCGCGUCUGAUUAGCUAGUUGGCGGGGUAGAGGCCCACCAAGGCGACGAUCAGUAGCCGGCCUGAGAGGGUGACCGGCCACAUUGGGACUGAGACACGGCCCAAACUCCUACGGGAGGCAGCAGUGGGGAAUAUUGCACAAUGGGGGGAACCCUGAUGCAGCGACGCCGCGUGAGUGAAGAAGUAUUUCGGUAUGUAAAGCUCUAUCAGCAGGGAAGAAAAUGACGGUACCUGACUAAGAAGCCCCGGCUAACUACGUG
rnacentral:rRNA from 1 species